UACGUAGGGUGCAAGCGUUGUCCGGAAUUAUUGGGCGUAAAGAGCUCGUAGGCGGUUUGUCGCGUCGAAUGUGAAAACCCGGGGCUCAACCCCGGGCCUGCAUUCGAUACGGGCAGACUAGAGUUCGGUAGGGGAGUCUGGAAUUCCUGGUGUAGCGGUGAAAUGCGCAGAUAUCAGGAGGAACACCGAUGGCGAAGGCGACUACCUGGCCUGUUUCUUGACGCUGAGGCGCGAAAGCUAGGGGAGCAAACGGG
rnacentral:rRNA from 1 species